rnacentral:lncRNA from 1 species
CUGGACCUUUCCUAAGUAUGAAUCAGAGUAUGUCUCUGGAGGGAAAAUUUUCUCUUGGAACUCCUUAAGGGGGUUUAAUUCAUCUGCCUCUGCCUGUAGAUGAUGUCAUGACGGGACUGAGAGGCCAAGAUCACACCAGGAGUCAGCAAUAGGUGAUCUCAUGGAGAAGGUUUCUAUAGUGUCCAUGCCUGUUCAGAGGGAUUAUAGCCCCAGAGGAAGAGGAUUUGCCUUUGCAUCCCUGCAUGUGAGGGUGCCCAGGCUUGGGUGGAAGGGUGCACAGGGAGCAGCACCCUCUGCAAGAGAGAUGGAUUUUCUGUCCUGGCAAGUGGGGAGCAGAGUGAGGGGACAGAGGUGUCCAGGUGAGCCUGAGCGAGCUGGUGCACACAGCCAGGUCCCGGGUGUGCAGUUCUGUGCUCUGUACCAGACCACCAGAACCUUUGGAGUGGUACUGGGGCAGGAGUCAUAUUCCACUGACUGUUGCGAGGUUGGCUGA